AGUCUACGGGCUCCCGCUGCUUUUCAGCGGGCAGAGGUCUAGGAGAAUCCGGGAAGCCCCGGUGGGGGUUAAGCCCCCUCCUCCCUCCAGGGCAGGGAACAGGAGGGUCUUUCACGGCCGGGAGGAGGCUGGCAGUCUGGGGCCAAGUCCGCCUCCCGCUCCCCUCCCCCGGUCUGGAGCAACCUUGGGAUUUUCUGCCAGGAGGGAGGCCACGGCUGAUAAACCCCGGGGGCUUUUGGGGGGACAUUCCUGCUGUCGGACGGCCUCCCCUUCGAACAGCCUGUAGGCGGGGGCUCUUUCCUGUGGGAGGCCCCGGGGUUCUGCCCCGAGAACGCGAUUCUGGGGCUGCGGGAAAAGUGUCUCCUCCUCGGAGUGGGCUCUUUUCUCUCUCUCCCAAACCUCACAACAGCAGCUGGUCCCACACCGCACCGGUUCUGGGCGCGCAGGCGACAGGGAGAUCUCUGCACGCUCCCCCCCCCCCCCCCCCACCUAAUACAAGAGUGUGUCUCCAUCACAGCUCCACAAGUGUGUUUCGGCUGUAGUGCUUGGUUGCAUGUUGUGUGUCCAUGGCGUCAACAUGAGUGUGCAAGCGAGCAUGUGUGUAGAUAGGUGAAUCCCGAGCUUCUCAGUGUGGGUGUGUGUCAGCGCCUGUCUUGAUGUACGGACACGGGUGAGCGUAUCUUGAGUUUGUGCGUGAAGGGUGUGGGUGCAGGCACCAGUGCACCGGUGGGCACGUCUCCGUGUGCAUGUGUGUGCGAGUGCGACUGCACGGACGCUGCCGUGUGUGCGCCAGCACAGGUACAGGUGUACGUACGGGUCCGCGUAUCUUUGUACAACGGUGUCGACGUGGAUCCGAGUGUCGUCGCCUGCGCGCCCUUUCCGGCUGUGUGCAGCUGCUGCUCUCCAGCCCCAGGCGCUGUCCGCUAAAGGCCCUCCUCCCUCUUUUCUCUUGUCCCGGCCACCCAGGGGUCUGAAUCCAGCCACUCACCGUGGCGGCGGCUCUGGUUGCGGCUUCUCUCCGCGCCCGACCCACCUGGGACCGGUCGCGACACCUCGCCUGCCAGCAGGGCUCAGGGCCGGGAAAGCCCCUUCUCGGCCCCCCGGAGGGGGGAAUUCCCAUGACGUUUCCGUGCGUCACGCCUCGCGCCCUUUUUCAUUGGCUGAAAGUUUAACUCUGGACUGGCGCAGCCAACCCGGAGCGACUCGGGCGCGCCCCUGAGAGGGGACAGGCUCACUCAGGGCGGGGAGCGGGGUGACAGGACACCAGGCGCGAGUUCGGCCGGCCAGGGGACCGCCGAGAAGGUACCCGCUGACCCAGCGCCACCCCGGGCCGGGAGCUUCCGCUGCCUCUCGGCUUUGGCUGCGCCUAACGCUUGGCUUUCUCUGAAGCGGGGGAUCCCCAGGGGGAAGCCGACGGCCCCAGCCCUCGGGGCCCCCACCCUGAGCGGCGCGCUGCCGGGAAGUUAGCGGAAGAGGAAGGAAGUUAUUCUUGCGGUCGGUCCCGGGCGCCCUCUGGCGGCCUCCCUGGGCCCGCGAGUAGACUCCAUUCGGCCCCGGCCCCUCUCUCGCUCCGUCUCAUCAGCCUCAAGGCUCCGGGAGAGACAGUCCGGACCUCGAACUUUUUUAGAAGUGACAGGUUCCCAGCGGGCCAGGGCUCAGGAGCUCUGCUCAGGAGAAGGGAAAUGAAGUGUUUAUCCACCAAGGAGAUCUGGAAUAUUAGAACUGAAAAAGGCAUCCAGAGUUUAAACAGCUCAAAUUUCCACCGAUGUGGGAAAUCGCCUCUUUUUUUUAGUCUCAGGCUGGAAUGCAGUGAGGGGAUUUUGGCUCACUGCAACCUCUGCCUCCCGGGUUCAAACCAUUCUCCUGCUGCAGCCUACCGAGUAGCUGGGAUUACAGGCGGCCACCACCACGCCCGCCUAAUUUAUGUAUUUUUAGUAGAGUUGGGGGUUUCACCACGUUGGUCAGGCUGGUCCCGAACUCCUGACCUCAGGUGAUCCGCUGGCCUCCGCCUUCUAAAAUGUUGGAAUUACAGUCGUGAGCCACUGCGCACGGCCUAUUUAUUUAUUUAUUUAUUUAUUUAUGUUUUUGAGACAGUGUCUUGCUCUGUCACCCAGGCUGGAGUACAGUGGCGUGAUCAUGGCUCACUGCAACCUCGAACUCCGGGGUGCGCCGAUUCUCUGACUCUCCUGAGUAGCUGGGGCUACAGGUGCACACCACCAUACCUGGCAAAUUUUAAAAUUUUUAGUGGAGAUGGAUCUCACUGCGUUGCCUAGGCUGGUCUUAAACUCCUGGGCUUAAGUGAUCCUCCUACUUUGGCCUUCCAAAAUGCUUGGAUUUUGGAUUACAGACGUGAGCCACUGUAUGCUGCCGAAUUGCCUCUUAUAGACCUUCCAAUUUCCACCUGAACACUUCUAGAGGCAGCGAGGUCAGGACAGAAAUUCACCAAGCACGGAGUACAUGACUGGACCUCUCUCUGGUCAGUAGCGUUUCUCCUUAGCAGGUGCCAUGAGUAAUCUCCCUGCCUGGAGUCCUCCUCCCUUAGGCUUAUGGUAGAACAUAAACUAUCUCGGGUCUUUCCUGCAGCUUGCCCCAGACGUUUUUAAGAACAGAAUCACAGGCCUGCACUGGCACUAAGUAAAGAGAGACUAUUAUGGCUCUCGAUUUGGGCUGUUUCCUAUUACUUCCCCACCCCUCUUCAUCUUGCCUGCAAAUAUAGUGUCCUAGUUGCUAGGUUCGGGUACUUUAGAAGUUCUUAUUCUCCCUCCCAACAACCCUAGGAGGUGAAUAUUACUUUUACUGAUGAAGAAAUUAAGGCUCAGAGAGGUGGAGUAACAACCAAACACACAGCUAGAAAGGGACAGAGCCAGGAUUCAAACCCAAUCUGUUGACUCCAGGAUGAAGCUUUCUCCCCUAAGUUUAUAUAAAACAAAGCAGCCCUUUCCACCUUACUGUGGGCCUCUCAAACAAAUAUCAUAAGAUUCUGCCAAACAAUUUGCUGAAAUCCAGAUAUGUUGUCUACUACGUUUCUCUGGUAAGUCAGAUUCCUAACCUUAAAUUAAAAUGGACUAAGGCCGGGCAUGGUGACUCACACCUGUAAUUUCAGCACUUCAGGAAGCCAAGGCUGGUGGAUCACUUGAGCCCAGGAGUUCGAGACCAGCCUUGGCAACAUGGUGAAACCCCGUCUCAAAAAAUUGAAGGGGUGGGUUGCCCCUCCACACCUGUGGGUGUUUCUCGUGAGGUGGAAUGAGAGACUUGGAAAAGAAAAAGACACAGAGACAAAGUAUAGAGAAAGGACUCGAGGAACCAGCAUUCAGCAUAUGGAGGAUCCCGCCAGCCUCUGAGUUCCCUUAGUAUUUAUUGAUCAUUCAUGGGUGUUUCUCUGAGAGGGGGAUGUGUCAUGGUCACAAGACAAUAGUGGGGAGAGGGUCAGCAGACAAACAAAGGUCUUUGCAUCAUAGACAAGGUAAAGGAUUAAGUGCUGUGCUUUUAGAUAUGUAUACACAUAAACAUCUCAAUGCUUUACAAAGCAGUAUUGCUGCCUGCAUGUCCCACCUCCAGCCCUAAGGCGGUUUUUCCCUAUCUCAGUAGAUGGAACGUACAAUCGGGUUUUAUACCGAGACAUUCCAUUGCCCAGGGACGGGCAGGAGACAGAUGCCUUCCUCUUGUCUCAACUGCAAGAGGCAUUCCUUCCUCUUAUACUAAUCCUCCUCAGCACAGACCCUUUACGGGUGUCGGGCUGGGGGACGGUCAGGUCUUUCCCUUCCCACGAGGCCAUAUUUCAGACUAUCACAUGGGGAGAAACCUUGGACAAUACCUGGCUUUCCUAGACAGAGGUCCCUGCGGCCUUCCGCAGUGUUUGUGUCCCUGGGUACUUGAGAU
rnacentral:lncRNA from 10 species